rnacentral:lncRNA from 1 species
UUUAAUUAUGUGAACACAAUAAUUUUAUAUUAUCUAUUAGAAGACACUCUAAUGUGAAAAUAUUGAUCUUCUAAUGCUGUUACCUGCUGUGUCUUUAGUUUCUCGUCCAUUUUAGAUUAUUUACUUGUGAAGAUUCAAGUUUAGAGGUGCUUUAUCUGUGGAAGUUGUGGAGCACACAUGCUCUAAUGUUGUCAUUGUGUCUAACAGGUGUCCAGAAUUAUCACUGGUACAGGAGCAUAUUUAUGUUAAUUUCUUAUUUUGGAUAUUCCUGAACAUUGAAGAUUUUGAAGCUAGUACAAAUUUGAACCACACACUUGUUCAUGAAACAGGCUCAGAGUACAAAUUCUUCAGGAACUCAAGCAGAGAUAGCAAAACCUAAGUUUCAGAAACAGAAUAAGAUGGUUGAAGACUUUCAUUAUCUUUCUGAAUUGUAGAGUUUAUCAACUGUAUAAAUGUUUUGCCUCAAUGGGAGGAGGUAUUAUGACUGAAUUGUACCUUCAAUAAACCUCUUGCCAGUGCUGGAGAAAAAUUUCCUUGGGCUGGGCAGCUUAGCCACACCUAAGAAAACAAUGAAUGUGAAAGCACUUUAAGAGUGAAGUUCUGUGUGGAGUCCUCAUGGUGAACAUUAUGCUCUGCACUAGGCUAUGAAAUGAUGAUGGCCAACCAUGGAUAGAAGCUAGUGGGGCUUUCUACUCUGCUUAAACUGUUCCCAUUCCAAUGUGCAAAACACUGCUCAAGAGUUUCCUUGUUGGAGACUGACAGACAGAAAAGAAGAAGAAUGCAUUGUGUUCUCAGAGAAACCCAGACAAGAAAAGAUUGGAGCUGCUGAGCUGAGAGCACUGAGAACUGAGAGCACUCAAUCUUUUAUGUCCUUUUGGAGGUACAGCAUGGGAGAAAUGGGAUCACCUGGUAGUAGGACUCCAGUUGCUCCCAAUGCGACUUCCUGCCUUGGUGAAGUCUACUGGAAGGAGUGUUGACUCUGUUAGAGACGUACAAGUAGAGAGCUCCAGCAAGCUGGAAAUAGGAGUCUGUAGUCCAGCAGAGAAGUCAGGCUUGAAGAUACAAAUUGAGGAGUCAUCAAAGUAUGGAUGACAUUGGAAGAGAAGGAGCAAGAUGACAUGACUUCAAGAGUGGGUGCAGGUGGGCUGCUUCCCAUCAUGGUAAGACUCUCCUGUUCUUAUCUUCCAAUCUCUCCUCAACCAACUCCAGUUCACAUCUAUAACCCCACCACACUACUGAAUCUGCCUUCGUUAAGAUCACCGUUCUUUCCCUGAAACACAAAGUGAAUGGAUUUAGUAAAAAAAUAGUUAGGAGGCAGGAAAAUUGAGAAGAAUUAGAGCAAUGUCACAGUGAUAAGACUCUAGCAGAGAAAGAUCAAUGCCUCCAACAUAUUAAGAACUGAAAAGUGUCAAGGAGGGUUUAUACCAUAUUUGAGAGCAAAAUUCUAAGAAACAUUGAGGCUUGGCUCUGACUUCUCAGAUCCCAACUGCUUGCCUGUGUUUCUGAUCACCAUCUGCUCCCGAUUCCCAGGGCCAAGCUCUACCACAGACCCUUGUGUCUUCAAGUUGGGCCCCCCAGUGCUAUCCUGGCAUGCCACCUGCUAUCUGUUGCCAGGCCUUUUCAGAUACUAUAUUCUGCCUGCUAUACUGAACCUCUCUCCUGUAUCUCAAAUACAUACAUUUCCUUUCCUACCUUCUCUUGAGCAGUUCUAGUCCUAAUUUCUGGAUUCUUUAGUCUAUAUAUCUUAUAAUAACUAAUAAGGCUCUGGUCAGCCAUGCCUUUCGAUGGGACACUUACUAACCAACCCACUACUCUGUUACAGUAUUUUUUAGGGUCUAGAAGAUGACAAGCACUGGAUUUUGAAUUCAUCCUCAAAAGGUCCUUGGCUCAUUUUAUAUACUUUGUGAUUGAGCCAGGUCAAACCCCAAUAAAUGCUGUGCCCCUCUAAGUAAGCACAUGCUCUUGUAUAUUUACCAGAAGCAAUUGAAGCAGUGAAGGAAGAAGUGAUAGAAGUCACUGAAAACUUCACUAUAUAAAAAGUCUUUUUUAUAUCUUGAACUAGGAAAGGCUGGACUAAAGUUCUGCCAACAGCGAGGCUCACUCCAUUAGUUAUAACUCUUCUUCCUACUGCUUGGCAAAUCAAGAUAUAAGAGUCCUUCUGGGGGAGCCACUUUUAACUCCUCUGGGGGAGUUGAAAAGCAAAUAUCAUGUUAAUCUUAAAAAUCAGUUUCUCUAUUUCAUUAUUUUUGAACCUACAAUUCAAUAUAUGUUCAUUGAAUUACAGAGUCUAUUAUUUAUUUGAAGCUUGUUAUGGGUUAAAUUGUGUCCUUCCAAAAUUCUUAUGUUGAAAUCCUAAUCCCAAGUAUCCCAUAAUGGGACCAAGUACCUCAGAAUGGGAAAUAGAGUCAUUGCAGAUGUAAUUAAUUAAGAGAUGUAAUUAAUUAAGAUACUGGAGUAAGAUGGGUCCCUAAUCCAGUAUGACUGGUGUCCUUCUGAAAAAGCAAAAUGUGGACAUAGAUACACACACAGAGAAAUGUCAUAUGAAGAGAGAGGGCAGAGAUGUAAAAGCCGAGGAACAUUAAAUAUUGCCAGCAAACUGCCAGGAGAGAGGUUUGGAACAGAUUUUCCUGCACAGCCCUCAGCAGGAACCAAUCCCACUGACAUCUUGAUUUUGGGUUUCCAGUCUCCAGAACUGUGACACAAUAAGUCUCUGUUGUUUAAGCCACCCAGUUUGUGGUUCUUAUACUAGCCCUAGCAAACUAAUACAAAGCCUGAGCAGACACAAAUUAUAUUAGCCACAAUAAUUUAGCAAUAUUUUCAGUUUUGCAUUAAUGAAAGUACAGCCCAAUUUGUCCACCCUUUGGAAUUUUGCCAGCAUAAACCCUCAUCCCAUCAAAAUCAUCACAAAUUAGGAAGAGAAAACAAAGGGUGGGGGCAAAAGGGGUGUAAACACAUGCUCAUUUUUCUGAAGAGGCCGAAGGAGUGCUUCUUCAUGUAGGCAUAUUUCCAAAGAGGCUGAAGAAAAAAAUAUGUAUUCAAAAAGAACAUUUACUCCUGUUGUUAAGUCAAUGCCUCACAACAUCACUACAGUAUCAGACACGAAAAUUAGGCCAGAAUUAUGCAGUUGAGUCUAAUGCUGUCUGUUCAGGCUUCAGUGAUAGACAAAAAGAAAUAGUUGCAUUUUGUAUGGUAAUUGGCUGGAGAUGUGCAGUACGCAUUUACAAACCAUGUCAGGACAUUUUUGCAUAUCAGAAAACAAUCUAACACAUUUCAUGAGACACUUGUGCAGUCCAUGAAUUUUAAUUAUCUAUGAAGCCUUGGACAAAGAGUACAAUACGAAACACUUCAAUAAUAGCAAUAAUAAAUAAUCUUUAUCUUGCCAUUGUUGGUGUCAAUCACAAAAUUUCAUCUUUAUUAAUAUUACAUCAUUAUUUUAUGAGAAUAAUUACUACUUUGUAGUAUGAGUAAAAUAUGUGCUUAUGGAAAUAUGAGACAAGGGCUGUAUAUUUCUUCUAUUCAGCUGACACAGUGGAAUCCAAUAAAAUAGAGAAUGGAAUGAGACUGAGUAUGAAAGAGAAACACCAAUUUCUUGUUUGUUCUUUUCAAAGUUGUACAAAACCCAAAGGACAAACCAGCUCAAACAACAAUCUCUCCAAACUUGAUCUGGUAGUUUGCCUUCAAGGAACAUGUACUGAAUGAGACACUAGGUUCCACACAGCUGGCCAAGGACUUUGGAAAUCAUUGCUCCUAUUUUUAACCCCACAUUCUUGAGCUGCCCACCCCCACCCUACCCAAUCACACAGCUCAAGAUUCCUUCUGAGCAAUUCGGACUGGACAGAGCAGCACGUGGUAUCCACGCAGCCAGACCCUAGCCAGCCUCACUUCCAAAACCUGUCAGUUAAAACUAAUUUAGGGGUGAAUCACGGGACCUCUGCUCACCACCCAAUCUGUUUAGGAACAUUGCUCUGUCCUUUUAACAGCCAGAGCUGCAGGCAACAUGUACUCUGUUAUGAGAGGGUAAGGAGUGUUCAGCUCACUUAGAAUCUGAUUGGCAGAGCAGCCUUAAUACUUUAUAAUAGUUCUUAGAAAUGUUUACGGAACGCAGUGUUUUGCACUGCAGUAUAAAGCACACUAUGUGCAGCCAUACCCUAACCAGUUGUAGAUCUGCUUGGGCAGAGGAAUCUGUUUUCCCAAGAAGGGCAGUCUCUCUCUUUACUCCAAGAACUAUAGAAGAGGCAUUGAAUUUAAAUUGAAACAAGAGAGACUUAAAUCAGAUUUAAAGAGUUUAGGCCACUAAACUAUAAAUUUUUUGAAAAUUUUUUAUUUAUUUUAAUUUAAACUCUGAGAUACACGGGCAGAACGUACAGGUUUGUUACAUAGGUAUACAUAUGCCCUGGUGGUUUGCUGCACCUAUGAACCCAUCAUCUAGGUUUUAAGCCCCACCUGGAUUAGGUAUUUGUCCUAAUGCUCUCCCUCCCCUAGCCCCCCAACCCCCGACAGGACCCAGUGUGUGAUGUUCCCCUCCCUGUGACCAUGUGUUCUCACUGUUCAUCUUCCACUUAUGAGUGAGAACAUGCAGUGUUUGGAUUUCAGAGUCUCUUUGUGGAGUUUUAAACAGUGACAAAGAGAUGUAUCUUUCACCCAUUUUGGAAUACCUAAAUUAGUGCAUUUGAGAAGACAAAGAAAAAAUAUAAGACUAAAUGGUAGUGUUUUGUAGUUUUAUGACUCUAUGUUCUUUUCUGUUGUUAUGAAAUUGCUGUUGCUCUUUGGAGGAAGAAAUCAGUUUUUCUAACUCUUGAUGAAUAAAUGCUUCACAUCUCACCCACGCGCACUCUUCCUUUAGGUGGUUUUGCUGUUAAUUCGCUUUAACUACCUCUUUCUUCUCUGUGUUUGGUCUUCUAAAACUGGUUCUGCAUAAUAAAUCCUAAUAGUCCUGUUGUGGAUGAAGAACUAAAUUUAAAAAUGUAACUUCUCACCAAGAUGUCCCUGAAAGUUAACAAGGAAACCUCUGCUCCUCCCAAAGUCAAGAUAAAGCAAAGUCUUUGAAGGCCAAAAAGGCAGUGCAGAAAAGUAUCCACAACCAUACUCAAAAGAUCCUCACACUACUCCACUUCUGGUGGCCCAAGACUCUGCAGCUUUUAAGGCAGCAAAAUGUCCUUAGAAAAGUACCACCAGGAGAAGCAAGCUUGAUCACUCUGCCAUCAUGUUCCACUUGAAUCAGACAAGAAUAGGGAAGACAAUACAUAUGUGUUCAUUUUAGAUGUCAAAACCAACAUGCACCAGUUCCAAAGGCUGUGAAGAAGCUUCAUGACACUAACAUGGCCAAGAUCAACACACUGAUCAGGCCUGAUGAACAAAAAAAGGCUUGACUAUGAUGCUUUGGAUGUUGCCAACAAAAUUGGGAUCAUCGAAAGAACACUCAGAUGGCUAAUUUUAAAUACAAAAAUUUCAGAUUUCUUUGUGAUUCUGUGAUUAGUUCAGCUUGACAAGAAGAAGAGAGAAAGGAAAAUGGCAUUUCUGUCCUCAUGUUUCUCCUCUUUGUGCAUCUAGAUGAUGAAUGGUGGGUGAAUGGGGGCAAAAGGUCUUGGUCAAUAAAAGAAAAUCUGAAAAUCUUC